rnacentral:rRNA from 1 species
GACAGAGGAUGCAAGCGUUUAUCCGGAAUGAUUGGGCGUAAAGCGUCUGUAGGUGGCUUUUCAAGUCCGCCGUCAAAUCCCAGGGCUCAACCCUGGACAGGCGGUGGAAACUACCAAGCUGGAGUACGGGUAGGGGCAGAGGGAAUUUCCGGGUGGAGCGGGUGAAAUGCAUUGAGAUCGGAAAGAACACCAACGGCGAAAGCACUCUGCUGGGCCGACAACUGACACUGAGAGACGAAAG